GGAUGUGAGGGCGAUCUCACUGGGACAUCUGUCACCCCACUGAUUGCCAGGGUUGAUUUGGCUGACCUGGCUGGCUAGGCAGGUGUCCCCUUCCUCCCUCACCACUACAUGUGCGUCCCUCCACAAGGUGCAUGCUCAGUUGAAGAGGAAGGCCUUCCCUGAAUAGAGAUGGACCGGUCUUCCGUUGAGGGUAUAGGAGUAGCUGCACUCCCCUGUUAGAACCUCCAAACAAGUUCUCAAGCCCCUAAUCUCCACUUAUAGACAGAAAGCUUCAUGAGCAGUGAAUCAGUGCUACAAAUGUCUCUUU
ensembl:misc_RNA 7SK 7SK RNA